CUUUUGCUCUAUCUUCUUUCCUUUUGGACGCCGCCGUACUUUAGUGUAUGAUCACAGUGAGGUUCAAGAAGGGGGUUAACGCUUGAAUUUAUUCCCCACAAAUAGCUUACUUGUUUUUUUUCCCUAUCUUUCCAUUUUCUCCCAAUAUUUUCUCUUUUUAAUUUGCUUAUAUGCAUAUGGUGUUUGCUGCUAAAAUUUAUGUUGUCAAAUUAGAUAUUGCUGUUGUGAGUGACUAUAGAGGGUAGCUGUUGUUUCACGUUGUUGCUGCUGUAAUUCUGGUGCUGCCCUGUUACUAAUGUUCUUUUCGUCCAAAAAUCAUUGAUCUGAAGUUGUUUUUAGCUCAUAGUCCCUUCAUCAGUGUUUUAGAUCUCGAAACAUUAUUCAAUCGAGGCUCAAGAAUUUCUCGAUUUGGAGUUGUGUGCUAGGAGUUAUGCCUUCUGGAAUUUACUGCGGUCUGCUACCCUGGUUUUAUCGCAGCGGGCUGUUAUUGCUCAUUUGAUGCCUAUGUGGUAUUGUUGUGUUGAGUUGGUUGGGGUGCUAAAAUAAAUGCUUGGGCUUCUCUUAUUUAUUUUGUCUUCCCUUCUUCCAUUUAUUUACACAUUAGUUAUAAAGUUAAAAUGUCGCCAAUUUUGACUAAUGACUAUUAGGAUAUUGACUAAUUGAUAAUUUGCCAAAGUGAUGAGGAUUAAUGUAUAUGUUAAAUUUUGAAAUGUGUGACUGACUAAAGUUAAUUAGUUUAAAUGUAUUAAAGGGUUUUAAUGUUUAUAAAAUAGAUUUGAUGAACGAACACUAAUCUCCCCAAGUUUAUUCAUCACUCUUAAUCAACUUCUUAUUUCGUAUUACAUGAGUCUUUUGUUGUUUUCAUUAAAUGAGGUGAGAAAAUAUAUAUAUGUAAAGGUUUGUAAAUAAUGUAUGUCUAGAUAAGGGUUGUGUUCUAUUUAUAUGAGUGUAAUAACUUAUCAAGUGAGUUUGGGAAGUAUUAAGGAGUCAAUCACAAAGAAGUCAUUUUUGAUAUGAUAGUCUCCUUAUAAUUUAUUAAAAUAUAUAUUAGCAUACAACUGGUUACUUGAGAAUCCUUUAUCUUUUCUACUGUAAUAUUAGCAGCAAUUGCAGGUUGGUGCAAAAUAAUGCAGUGCUUGAAGUUAGAGUCUUGUGCUUCUAUAACAAAAAAGAAAAUUCAACUGUGUGGCCCUCCUUGACUCCAUAUCAACUUAACUACCAAAAAAGCAACCUGGACAUCCUUGUUAGAGUAAAGAGGUGGGCAUUACCUAAAUUCCAAAUCUGGUCGGGGGUCUUGAUGAGUUUAAGCGUACGUCUCUUCCCGUUUCUUUGAAUAUUUAGAUUGCGCAAUUAUACUUCAGUUGCAAUUAUCUACAUCAAUGUUUCUGUUAUUCAUACUUCUUUUGUGUGUUUCUAUACAUGUCUUCUUGUGUAAAAUCUUGAUGACCUAUGAGCAUUAAUGUACCUCUGAGGUUUCAUUCUGGUACAUCUAUUGUUGCUGCCUCCUAUGCUGCUUAUAAUGUUGUUGAAUGUUAAUAUCAUUGUUCUAUGUAGCAUUACUGAAAGAUCAUUGUCCUAUUGAAUUAUUUGACAUUGAUACACUGUAAGUCCAAUUCAAAAAAAGCAAGAAAAGUGUGGAUUCUGGGUACUUGCCACGUUUUAGUUUUUUUUUUUUUUUUUUUUUUGUUAAAAUUAUGAACCAUGAUUGUGUUUUGGUAGAAUUUAUCUAACUUCUACUUUAGCUGACAUCUCUUUACAGGAUUAAUGAUAUUUUUUAGCUUGAAAUCAGCCCAAAACACUUAUUUAGGUCAACAUGGAUUCUUUAUAAACGUCCAUACCUUUUUUUUUUUUUUUUUUUUUUUUUUUGUCUUUCUUUUUGAAGAAGAUGUGCUUACUUGGAAUAGUGCAGUAUGGUCUCUUAAAACUCUUAGUGAAAGAACACAAUUAAGAGGUCUUGUCUAAAGUAAAAUCUAGGAUGUAAUAUAUUUAGAAUGACCUUUUUUUAUUAGUUCUUAAGAAAUAGCAAGUGUAUCUUUAAAGCUUUUUGAUAAUUUAAGGGGUCGCACGUGAUCGUUGAUUCUAAUGGUUAUGACACACCAUGUAAAUUGCAACCACGUGUUGAGAUAGCGUGACGGUAAUGACUCUAAUGUAUCUAAGAACUUUAGAUUGCUA